rnacentral:rRNA from 1 species
GACGAACGCUGGCGGCGUGCUUAACACAUGCAAGUCGAACGGUGAAGCGCUUUCCUUUUUGGUGGGUGUGGUUGCGUGGCGAACGGGAGAGUAACACGUGCGUAACCUGCCCCUUUCUCUAGCAUAACCGCAUGAAAGUGUGGACAAUACGGGAUAUUCUGGGUCUGUGGCAUGAUGGGUAUGGGUAAGCUAUUGUUUCGGUGGGGGCUGGGCGUGCGGCCUAUCAGCUUGUUGGGGGGGAGAUGGGCUUUCAGGGCGGUGGCGGGUCGCCGGGCUGCGAGGGUGGACGGCCACACGGGGAGUGAGACACGGCCGGGACUCCGACGGGGGCCAGCAGUGGGGAAUAGGGCACAGUGGGCGCAAGCCUGAUGCGGCGGCACCGCGUAAGGGAUAGAGGCCUGCGGGUUGAGAACCUCUUUCGCUAGUGAAGCAGGCCUGCCUGGUUUGUGGGUGGGUUGACGGUAGCUGGAUAAGAAGCGCCGGCUAACUACGUG